CCUACGGGAGGCAGCAGUGAGGAAUAUUGGUCAAUGGGCGUAAGCCUGAACCAGCCAAGUCGCGUGAGGGAUGAAGGUUCUAUGGAUCGUAAACCUCUUUUAUAAGGGAAUAAAGUGCGGGACGUGUCCCGUGUUGUAUGUACCUUAUGAAUAAGGAUCGGCUAACUCCGUGCCAGCAGCCGCGGUAAUACGGAGGAUCCGAGCGUUAUCCGGAUUGAUUGGGUUUAAAGGGUGCGUAGGCGGCCUUUUAAGUCAGCGGUGAAAGUCUGUGGCUCAACCAUAGAAUUGCCGUUGAAACUGGGAGGCUUGAGUAUGUUUGAGGCAGGCGGAAUGCUUGGUGUAGCGGUGAAAUGCUUAGAUAUCACGCAGAACCCCGAUUGCGAAGGCAGCCUGCCAAGCCAUGACUGACGCUGAUGCACGAAAGCGUGGGGAUCAAACAGGAUUAGAUACCCCUGUAGUC
rnacentral:rRNA from 1 species